rnacentral:rRNA from 1 species
UACGGGGGGGGCAAGCGUUGUUCGGAAUUACUGGGCGUAAAGGGUGCGUAGGCGGUGCUCUAAGUCGGAUGUGAAAACUCUGGGCUCAACCCAGAGCCUGCAUCCGAAACUGGAGUGCUAGAGUUCUGGAGGGGGUAGCGGAAUUCCUAGUGUAGCGGUGAAAUGCGUAGAUAUCAGGAGGAACACCGGUGGCGAAGGCGGUUCUCUGGGCCUUACCUGACACUGAGGAGCGAAAGCGUGGGGAGCGAACAGG